rnacentral:tRNA from 1 species
GCCCGGGUGGCUUAGUCUGGUCAUAGCGCCGCACUCAUAAUUCGGUGGCUGUGCGUGUCCCCCGAGGCC